GACGAACGCUGGCGGCGCGCUUAACACAUGCAAGUCGAACGGAAAGGCCUGCUUUCCCUUGUGGAUUGCGGGUACUCGAGUGGCGAACGGGUGAGUAACACGUGAGUGAUCUGCCCCCAACUUGGGUAUAAGCCUGGGAAACUGGGUCUAAUUCCCGAUAGGACUGCAGGGUGGUGCCUGUGGUGGAAAACGAUUUUCUAGUGGUUGGGGAUGAGCUCGCGGCCUAUCAGCUUGUUGGUGGGGUAAUGGCCUACCAAGGCGGCGACGGGUAGCCGGCCUGAGAGGGUGGACGGCCACAUUGGGACUGAGAUACGGCCCAGACUACUACGGGAGGCAGCAGUGGGGAAUAUAGCACAAUGGGCGGAAGCCUGAUGCAGCGACGCCGCGUGGGGGAUGACGGCCUUCGGGUUGUAAACUCCUUUCGACCGCGAGGAAGCCACCUGGUUGGAAGGGUGGUGACGGUAGUGGUAGAAGAAGCACCGGCUAACUACGU
rnacentral:rRNA from 1 species